rnacentral:rRNA from 1 species
AGAGUUUGAUCAUGGCUCAGAUUGAACGCUGGCGGCAGGCCUAACACAUGCAAGUCGAACGGUAACAGGAAGAAGCUUGCUUCUUUGCUGACGAGUGGCGGACGGGUGAGUAAUGUCUGGGAAACUGCCUGAUGGAGGGGGAUAACUACUGGAAACGGUAGCUAAUACCGCAUAACGUCGCAAGACCAAAGAGGGGGACCUUCGGGCCUCUUGCCAUCGGAUGUGCCCAGAUGGGAUUAGCUAGUAGGUGGGGUAACGGCUCACCUAGGCGACGAUCCCUAGCUGGUCUGAGAGGAUGACCAGCCACACUGGAACUGAGACACGGUCCAGACUCCUACGGGAGGCAGCAGUGGGGAAUAUUGCACAAUGGGCGCAAGCCUGAUGCAGCCAUGCCGCGUGUAUGAAGAAGGCCUUCGGGUUGUAAAGUACUUUCAGCGGGGAGGAAGGGAGUAAAGUUAAUACCUUUGCUCAUUGACGUUACCCGCAGAAGAAGCACCGGCUAACUCCGUGCCAGCAGCCGCGGUAAUACGGAGGGUGCAAGCGUUAAUCGGAAUUACUGGGCGUAAAGCGCACGCAGGCGGUUUGUUAAGUCAGAUGUGAAAUCCCCGGGCUCAACCUGGGAACUGCAUCUGAUACUGGCAAGCUUGAGUCUCGUAGAGGGGGGUAGAAUUCCAGGUGUAGCGGUGAAAUGCGUAGAGAUCUGGAGGAAUACCGGUGGCGAAGGCGGCCCCCUGGACGAAGACUGACGCUCAGGUGCGAAAGCGUGGGGAGCAAACAGGAUUAGAUACCCUGGUAGUCCACGCCGUAAACGAUGUCGACUUGGAGGUUGUGCCCUUGAGGCGUGGCUUCCGGAGCUAACGCGUUAAGUCGACCGCCUGGGGAGUACGGCCGCAAGGUUAAAACUCAAAUGAAUUGACGGGGGCCCGCACAAGCGGUGGAGCAUGUGGUUUAAUUCGAUGCAACGCGAAGAACCUUACCUGGUCUUGACAUCCACAGAACUUUCCAGAGAUGGAUUGGUGCCUUCGGGAACUGUGAGACAGGUGCUGCAUGGCUGUCGUCAGCUCGUGUUGUGAAAUGUUGGGUUAAGUCCCGCAACGAGCGCAACCCUUAUCCUUUGUUGCCAGCGGUCCGGCCGGGAACUCAAAGGAGACUGCCAGUGAUAAACUGGAGGAAGGUGGGAUGACGUCAAGUCAUCAUGGCCCUUACGACCAGGGCUACACACGUGCUACAAUGGCGCAUACAAAGAGAAGCGACCUCGCGAGAGCAAGCGGACCUCAUAAAGUGCGUCGUAGUCCGGAUUGGAGUCUGCAACUCGACUCCAUGAAGUCGGAAUCGCUAGUAAUCGUGGAUCAGAAUGCCACGGUGAAUACGUUCCCGGGCCUUGUACACACCGCCCGUCACACCAUGGGAGUGGGUUGCAAAAGAAGUAGGUAGCUUAACCUUCGGGAGGGCGCUUACCACUUUGUGAUUCAUGACUGGGGUGAAGUCGUAACAAGGUAACCGUAGGGGAACCUGCGGUUGGAUCACCU